UACGGGGGGGGCAAGCGUUGUUCGGAAUUACUGGGCGUAAAGGGCGCGUAGGCGGCCAACUAAGUCAGACGUGAAAUCCCUCGGCUUAACCGGGGAACUGCGUCUGAUACUGGAUGGCUUGAGUUCGGGAGAGGGAUGCGGAAUUCCAGGUGUAGCGGUGAAAUGCGUAGAUAUCUGGAGGAACACCGGUGGCGAAGGCGGCAUCCUGGACCGACACUGACGCUGAGGAGCGAAAGCCAGGGGAGCGAACGGG
rnacentral:rRNA from 1 species